AUGAUUUCGCAGUAUCUGCGUGCGGAGGCUACGGCUGUUUUGCUCCGCGUCACGAAACUGCGACAGAUUUAUUACAAUAUGGCUAGUAUAGUGCGUGAAUGCGGUGCGAUCCGACUCAUACACGAGACUCAUCUCCUGUCGCCGCGGCGGACUCGUCUGUCAGGGCCUGUAACCUCGGGGUCCCCAGCCUUCCGUUACACUCCCCUUGCACUCCGCCAGUGGUCGUCCGCCGCCCUGGUGAUCGCCAUGUUUCCGGAAGUCAACAGAGGCAGUCCGGAAACACGUGUUUGUCGGACGGUGAGAUUUUUUUUCUGUCAUAAUAUAAUUUUUUUCUGAUAUUAUAACAAAAUAAUGUUAAAUUAUUGAAUUAAUUAUACAAUACAAAUUAUACAGUACUCGCCCCCCCCACACAUUUUAAUUUAGAGAACAAUAACAUUGUACCAAAAAAAAAAAAAACUUUAAAAAAGGUAACGUUACAUAAAUUAUUCCCAUAUUUAAUCACACAUUUAAAGUCUCGAUAGCUUUCUAUGAUUAGUGACUGGUGUUUUUAAUGGUAAAAAUAAUUUAUAAGAACUGUAAGAAUCUAAAUAGAUAUAUAAUUUUUUAUUUUUUUUGCCAGAUGUGACAUUAUUCAGCACUAAUAUGGUUGCUUCCUUUUUGUACUGUAUUUCACUACUAAAAUUUUGUUCAAAUAAUCAGUUGCAAAGAUCAUGUUUCUUCACAUUUAUUUCCACACAUUCUUUGUCACACUUUUCAUAUUAAUUCAAAAUAUGAUACCUUUCUCCAUUCUCUUAGUUUGCCAUUUUCAAGUAAAUGCAAGACUGCAAAAAAAGGAAAGAGUGUUUUGUUCUGAAACAAAUGGUCUUCAUCACAUUACUGAUGUUCAUACUUACAUAUUGCAUUAAUUUCAAGAGUACAAGUAAAUAUAAUUUAACCCAAAAUUUUAUUUAAUUUGAACUGAUUUGAACAUUAACACAAGAUAAAUACUAAUCUUAGCUACUUUUAUGUCAUCCCCUUGAUUUUUUCUUGUUGUCCAUGUUAAUAGAUUAUAAAUGGUUAAAUAGUAGUAUAAAUAUAUAGUUGUUUAACCCUGCAACUAAUUAUAGAAAUAAACUUGGUUUAAUUGCUAGUUAAUAAAUAGGG
ensembl:lncRNA